GCGGUAACAGGUGUAGCAAUACAUGCUGACGAGCGGCGGACGGGUGAGCAAUAUUUGGGAAUCUGCCUAUUAGUGGGGGACAACCCGGGGAAACUCGGGCUAAUACCGCAUACGCACUAUGGUGGAAAGCCGGGGACCGCAAGGCCUGGCGCUAAUAGAUGAGCCCAAAUCGGAUUAGCUAGUUGGUGAGGUAACGGCUCACCAAGGCGACGAUCCGUAGCUGGUCUGAGAGGACGACCAGCCACACCGGAACUGAGACACGGUCCGGACUCCUACGGGAGGCAGCAGUGGGGAAUAUUGGACAAUGGGCGAAAGCCUGAUCCAGCGACGCCGCGUGGGUGAAGAAGGCCUGCGGGUUGUAAAGCCCUUUCGGUGGGGACGAAAAGCCUCGACCUAACACGUCGGGGUCUUGACUUAACCCAAGAAAGAAGCACCGGCUAACUCUGUGCCAGCAGCCGCGGUAAUACAGAGGGUGCGAGCGUUAAUCGGAAUUACUGGGCGUAAAGCGCACGUAGGUGGCUUUGCAAGUCGAUUGUGAAAUCCCCGGGCUUAACCUGGGAACUGCAGUCGAGACUGCCUUGCUAGAGUAU
rnacentral:rRNA from 1 species